UUUUUUUAUUUAUCAGAGGAACUUUAGAGUCCUAUUUGCAAAUUUUGAAAAUAUUAAUUAUUUAGACAUGUAUGGAAAUAUCACAUCAAUAAUAUCUGGAAAAUAUUUUUACACCAAAGAAGUACAGUAUUGGUAACCAAAUAGAGGAACUUUAGAGUCCUAUUUGCAAAUUUUGAAAAUAUUAAUUAUUUAGACAUGUAUGGAAAUAUCACAUCAAUAAUAUCUGGAAAAUAUUUUUACACCAAAG
rnacentral:lncRNA from 1 species